rnacentral:misc_RNA from 1 species
GAUGAAGAACGCAGCGAAAUGCGAUAAGUAAUGUGAAUUGCAGAAUUCAGUGAAUCAUCGAAUCUUUGAACGCACAUUGCGCCCCUUGGUAUUCCGAGGGGCAUGCCUGUUCGAGCGUCAUUACACCACUCAAGCUAUGCUUGGUAUUGGGCGUCGUCCUUAGUUGGGCGCGCCUUAAAGACCUCGGCGAGGCCACUCCGGCUUUAGGCGUAGUAGAAUUUAUUCGAACGUCUGUCAAAGGAGAGGAACUCUGCCGACUGAAACCUUUAUUUUUCUAGGUUGACCUCGGAUCAGGUAGGGAUACCCGCUGAACUUAAGCAUAUCAUAAGCGGAGGA